rnacentral:rRNA from 1 species
GUGCCAGCAGCCGCGGUAAUACGGGAAGGGCAAGCGUUAUUCGACAUUACAGGGCGUAAAGAGUCCGUAUACAGCAAAGUAAGUUAUUUGUUAAAACUUAAAGCCCAACUUUAAGAUAGCUUGUAAUACUGCUUUACUUGAGUUUUAUACAGAAAAGUAGAAUUUUAUACGAAAGGGUAAAAUCUGGAAAUAUAUAAAGGAAUACCAGUAGCGAAGGCGACUUUUUAGUAAAAACUGACGUUGUGGGACGAAAGUAUGGGGAGCAAACAGGAUUAGAAACCCUGGUAGUCC